UGAUAUGUUUGUUAUUUGGUUGG
rnacentral:miRNA from 1 species